UUUGUAGUGGAUACGAUUGGCGUUUCAAGUCUGCGCGAAGAGAGAGACAGGCGAAGUUCACAGAGCGGGCCACGAUUGGUCGGUCCUGGUCGCGCCUCCUAUGACGUCAUGGGCAGAGGCCAAUGAGAGUCCGAGGGCGGCCUCGCGGGAAGGCGACUAGGGAGGACGAUGAGUGUUACAGUCAAUUCAGCAGUAGGUGCCUCUGGAAGCUCCUUGGUGUUCUUUCUUUUAAGCGUUGUACCUUUUGUUUCCUAGUUCAAAACGCCUCGCAUGUAGUAGGCACUCAAGUGUUUGUUCCGGAAAUAAUACUCGGAAUGAACCUGACUCUGAAAAUAACGGCCGCCCGAGAAGCGCAUCUUUGUUGAGCUCCCACCUCUAUGAAAUGGAAAUGAAUGCCCCCAACUAGGUGUCGUGAGGUUGGAGCCAAAGUAGGGACCAAUCACCUAACCUGAAGCCCGAAGCUCUUCUUCAUCAGCAAAAAUGUUUUACAGCAGGCAGAAGGGCCACCUCACAGAGAUUCCUGCCACAUCCAAGCAAGGAGGCUGUGACAUCCGCACCCUCAAGCCAGAUAGUCACCCUGACUGGAGGGGCCAGGCCUGUCAGCCCCGAAACCAAGACUGAAAACCAGACACCACGUGGACAAAGAGCAUCUCAGAACCCCUGUGGGGACCAGUGAUGUGAGGACCUGCCAUCUCCCAUUUCUCCUUGUCCUGGCACCUCAGAAAUCCCCUAACCAGACACAGCCCUGAAGAAGGGGGCCGGCCUCGCUGUCAAGGUCAUUGUCACUGCAGCUGAGUGGGGGCUUAAAGUGGAAAUAAAGCUCAGUUGCCAGGAACAAAGCUGAGGGAAACCAACAAGCACUGUCCUGCCUGGCUGGCAUCAUCACCUCACUGGGUUAGAAGUUCCUCCAGGACAGAUCUGUAUGUUUCUUUUGACUCUCCCACCUCAUUCCGAGCAUGCACCGUGUCUGCACUUGAAGGUCUCGAUAAAUGUGUUGAAUGAAUGAAUCAUGAAAAGAAUGUAUACUGAGAACUUGGGGUAUUGAUUCUUCUUGUUGGCUAUAUAAUGUUUAAGAUAUUUAUGUUUCGGAUAUUUUAUCAGAUGUGCCAACUGUAUGUCUGAGCACAAAUAAAAUUAAAAUGCUUCACAGUGCAUAUAGCAACUGAAAAAAUAGGUCACAUUUUGGACUUAUGUUUCUAGCUACUUAGAACCACAGUUCUGAGUUUCGGAUAAUUACCUUCAGUAUCAUAAUUGAUGAUUAUGUUAUUUUAUUAUUGUCAUUUCUCAUUCCUUUUACAACCAGAUCAUAUUGAAGCUGUGCUUAUGUGCUUAGAACACUGACUUUCUUGUAAAACCCAUCUCCUCGGUCACCUCUUUGAUAAGGUCCCUGAAACCGUGUCUCUCAUCUUCGGGUUCUCAGCAGCCAGCACAGUACCUGGCACACAGGAUGAGACCAGGAAGUGUGUCCCAAGUGAGUGUGCAUAAACCUUUCCUGAUCCUCAGAUGUUAUUUUUUUGCCUUGGGAUCGUAUCCCAUUCAAUCAUAGCUUCUCAAACUUGAAUGAGCAUUAGAGUCACCGGGAGAGCCUGACAACGCUUAGCUGGGCCCUACACCCAAAGUUUCUGAUUUAAGAGGUGUGGCGUGUGGACACAAGAAUUCACAUUACUAACAAGUUCUGAAGUAAUGCUGAUACUGUUGACUAUUGACCUGUACUUUCUAAACCACUGCAUUGAAUUAAGCUUCUGGAAGACAGGGCUGGUCUUCCUCCUUUCAGGAUGGUCUGCAGCCUCUGCUAUGGUACUGAGCACACAGGAGCUGCUAAAAAAUAGGAAUAAUUAUUUGAAUAACAGUUCAACAAGUUUCUUGGCAUUCCCAUUGUGGCUCAGCAGAAAUGAAUCUGACUAGGAUCCAUG